GCCCUCAUGGCGCAGUGGUUUGACACGCGGUCGCGCAUUCAACCCGGGCAAGAAAGCACUGCGCGUGGGUUCGAGUCCCAUUGUAGUCA